GUCUCUCAUGGCUUCCCUUCCAUCCCUCAGCUCUGCUUCUAGAGACGGUGCAUUCUCUAGGAAGGCCCCACAGGAAGGAGGAAGGCAAUGGCUGUUGGAACUCUGCCAUUGGGAGCUCAGGAGUCACUGAUAUACGAAGAUGUGUCUGUGGACUUCACUUGGGAGGAGUGGAUGCAACUGUGUUCUGCACAGAGGAACCUGUAUGGCAGGGUGAUGCUGGAGAACUGGAGCACCCUGGUCUCCCUGGGUGAGCAGCCCCACCUUCAGCCUUCUGCCUAUGGAAUUCACAGCAGAGCAUCAACCAUCCAAACCAAAUGUGAUCUCUGACCUGGAACAAGAACUGACCCUGAGAAAAGGAGAAUUCCCAGGUUGCAUCUCUCUGGGCCUGCCAUGUUGUCUUUGAGCAUCCUGUCUUCCUCAGAGGAUCUCCUAGGCCGGUUUGUAAAACUUUGUAGGUAAUCUUUUUGCUUUUCUUUUUCUUAAGAAUUAAGUCUUAGGGUUGGGGAUUUAGCUCAGUGGU